rnacentral:rRNA from 1 species
AACACGUGGGUGAUCUGCCCUGCACUCUGGGAUAAGCCUGGGAAACUGGGUCUAAUACCGGAUAUGACCUGCUCUCGCAUGGGGGUGGGUGGAAAGAUUUAUCGGUGCAGGAUGGGCCCGCGGCCUAUCAGCUUGUUGGUGGGGUAAUGGCCUACCAAGGCGACGACGGGUAGCCGACCUGAGAGGGUGACCGGCCACACUGGGACUGAGACACGGCCCAGACUCCUACGGGAGGCAGCAGUGGGGAAUAUUGCACAAUGGGCGAAAGCCUGAUGCAGCGACGCCGCGUGAGGGAUGAAGGCCUUCGGGUUGUAAACCUCUUUCAGCAGGGACGAAGCGCAAGUGACGGUACCUGCAGAAGAAGCACCGGCUAACUACGUGCCAGCAGCCGCGGUAAUACGUAGGGUGCGAGCGUUGUCCGGAAUUACUGGGCGUAAAGAGUUCGUAGGCGGUUUGUC